GGGUCAGUAGGUUGGUCGUGCCACCGGUACGUACUGGUCUCACUGAUUCCUCCUUCCUGAAGAACCGUAAUGCCAUUAAUUUGGUGUUGCGGGGAAACAGGACUGUUACUUUGAAAAAAUUAGAGUGUUUAAAGCAAGCUAACGCUGAAUACAUUAGCAUGGAAUAAUGAAAUAGGACGAUCGAUCCUAUUUUGUUGGUUUCUAGGAUUGACGUA
rnacentral:rRNA from 1 species